UGUAAAAGAUUUUCUGAUCUUAAAGGGCCCAUGUCCUUACUGCGAUACAGAAAACGUCUCCUUCUUUGGAACCAUACCUUCGGUGCCUAGUGGCAGUUUUGCAAAUACUGUUAAAUGCUCCAAUUGUUGCACCGAAUUACAAUAUGAUGCGGGAGUGCGCUUGAUUACAACAGAUGCAAGUGAAGCUUGAGUCAUGGAGGUACAUUCAUCUGCUUUAUGAUUCCUACCAUCAAAUUUAUCUAGUGCAAAACUAUCAAAGGCU